rnacentral:rRNA from 1 species
AUUGACGGGGGCCCGCACAAGCGGAGGAACAUGUGGUUUAAUUCGAUGAUACGCGAGGAACCUUACCCGGGCUCAAACGUUGCAGGAAGGGUGUCUGAAAGGAUGCCCGUCUACGGACCUGCGACGAGGUGCUGCAUGGUUGUCGUCAGCUCGUGCCGUGAGGUGUCGGCUUAAGUGCCAUAACGAGCGCAACCCCUACCGCCAGUUGCCAACAGGCAAAGCUGGGGACUCUGGCGGGACUGCCGGCGCAAGCUGCGAGGAAGGCGGGGAUGACGUCAAAUCAGCACGGCCCUUACGUCCGGGGCGACACACGUGUUACAAUGGCAGGUACAGCGGGAAGCCACCUGGCGACAGGGAGCGGAACCCGAAAGCCUGUCUCAGUUCGGAUUGGAGUCUGCAACCCGACUCCAUGAAGCUGGAUUCGCUAGUAAUCGCGCAUCAGCCACGGCGCGGUGAAUACGUUCCCGGGCCUUGUACACACCGCCCGUCAAGCCAUGGGAGUCGGGAGUGCCUGAAGUGCGUGAGCGCGAGCAGCGCCCUAGGGCAAAACCGAUGACUGGGGCUAAGUCGUAACAAGGUAACCGU